CUAGUUAGGGGAGGCAGCCGGCCCGGAGGGUGUGGGGCUCCAGGGGCUGGCCGCUUUUCACUCGCCCGUAACUCCCGCCCUGCGCUCUGGUGUCCCCUCGGAUGCGGUGCUGACCGAGUGCCAUCCCGAUUUCACUCGACCGAGUCGGAGCCGCAGCCCACGGAGGAAGCUGCAAGGGCUGGGCAGAGUUCCAAGCGAGAGGGGCCGAGAGGCGCGAGCUGCGCUCCGCGGCGCCCGUCCGAGAGGUGGAGCAGCGGCCCCUUUGUGGGCCGGCACAUCCCCCUCCCGGGUGCACAGCGGGGACAUUUGAUCCGCGGGGUGAUUGAUACGUGCGGGCGGGGGCCGCCAUUCCUCCCUCCCCCUCUCCUUCCUCCUCCCCCCUCCGCCCUCCUUCCCUCCUCCCUCCUGGCUGCUCCCUCCUUGCUGCCAGAAGCGCUGCCCGGUGGCGAGCCGCUCCGGUGGGAUCUGCCUGCCCUUGGGGGCGCCGCCCGCGCUCGCCGCCAAGCCCUCGCUCCCCGGCCGCGCCGGUCCGAGGCCGCGCCGCCUCCCGCGCCUCCCGGUCGCAGAUGCUGCGGGCGCCUCCGGGGGAACCUCCGGGCGGCGCGCUCGCCGGAUGCCAAACUACUGGCGGACCGCAGAGGAGAGGGGUCCCGUCUUCUCCUGAUGUGUGAGUAACCCCCACCCCGCGCUGUCUUUGCUCUCCCCUCCCCCGCCGCCAGUCCCCUGAUUUUCCCACCCCCUUUUUGCGCAGUUAAAAAAAAAAGUAAAGCAAUUUCUGCUGCGAGCCCAGGAGGGGCGAGCCGCCCGAGAUCUCUUCAAGAUACCCCAGGGGAGGAGGAGGAGGAGGAGAUGGGCUGGAUUUAGUAGGACAACUCGGUUACUAAUGACUCCGCGGCUGGCGGCGACCCGCCGGGAAAUCAGGUGCAAGCAUGUGUGCUGGGGGACGCGUGGGUGGGUGGGGGGGCUGGGGGGGAGGGGGGAAGGGGAGGAGAGCAGACACCGCUUUGAGCAUCGCAGUGAUCUCCUGCCGUGUGGCCCACUCCCCGCAUUCUUCCUCCCGCCCACUCCGCCCCCUCGCUUUGCCAUUUUAAUCGGCCUUCCGUGUUUCUCUCUCCCCCGCAUCCUGCUCUCUCCCGCCCCCCUCCCCAAGGUUUGCCUGUAGGUACCUGAGCU
rnacentral:lncRNA from 1 species